GACCUUUUGAUAUGCGUUAUAUAAGAGUUGAUUUACCCCCAUGGUUCUCUUCAAUGUCGAUAGCAUUGAAGUCAAGUGUCAAUCUUGAUAUUAACAGCAUUGAAAAAAUUCGUAAAAUGUGCUGCCGAUUAUGUGCUUCAGAUAUGGCAGCCUCCCAUUACCA